UACGUAGGGUGCGAGCGUUGUCCGGAUUUAUUGGGCGUAAAGAGCUCGUAGGCGGUUUGUCGCGUCGGCCGUGAAAUCUCCACGCUUAACGUGGAGCGUGCGGUCGAUACGGGCAGACUUGGAGUUCGGUAGGGGAGACUGGAAUUCCUGGUGUAGAGGUGAAAUGCGUAGAUAUUACAAGGAACACCAAUGGCGAAGGCAGCUUGCUGGGCCUUUUCUGACGCUGAGGUACGAAAGCGUGGGGAGCGAACGAGG
rnacentral:rRNA from 1 species